ACUUGAAGCUGAACGUGAACGACUAGAGGAAGAGGAAAGGCGGCGUGCUGAAGAAGAAGAAAAUCGUCGCCGAAGAAUUGAAGAUGGUGAAGAAAGUGAAGGUGAAGGAGGCAAAGAGGAGGGUGAGGGAGAAGGAGAACACUCUGAAGCUACCCUUCCUACUGCAGCAGAUGAACCCAGUAUUGCUCCAACUGAAUCUCCACAUACUGUCAAAGAUUCCGAGACAGAUGCCGACGGCAAAAAGUCAGACGCCGAGGAUGAAGGUGAGAAGGAAGCUGUUAAUGAGGCAGUUGCCGAUCUCGUGUCUAAAGAGGAGGGUGGCCAAGGGGGUGCCGCACCCACUGAGGGGACAUCACCUGAUGAAGGUGGUGAUGAGGGUAAUGGUGAAGGCAAAACAGAAGGCAGCAGUGAAACAACUGUAGAUAUCCCACUGCAGGAGGAAGAUCUUCUACCACCGGAUGGACCAGAAACGCAACAGUUUAAAGAACAACGUCAACAGUUUGACGUUGAGUGGCCGAGUAUUACUGGUCUGAUCACCGGUACAUCAUCUCUUGAACCAAUUAUUGUGGAUUUAUUGGAAGAGAGAGAGGAAGGAAAACCCCCUGCAGUCAGGCAAGAGGAGGACAUUCUCAGAGACUCCACUGUUGCCAUUGAAAGACCCUAUACUUACCAACCUUGGGAGUAUACAAGUAUUGAUGUCGAUGAGGAAGAAGAGGAUGCUGAACAUGAUGAGGAAGAAGAUAUAGAAGAGGAUGAGGAUGAAGAAGUGGCUCGCAAUAAGAAGAAGCAAUUUGGUGACACUAAACAUUUCUGUCCAGUGGCAUUGAAAGAUAACAAUGUACUAUGGCCAGGUAACUCAGACACUGCAGCCAGAUACAGAGAGAAAUUAUAUUUCUUCUCCAGUAGUGAAGCCAGGGAUAAGUUUCUUAUGGACCCAGUGCCGUAUGUUGCCAAGAAUAAACCCUUGAAGCCACCACCAAUCCGCUUACUCAUACUUGGUCCCAGGGGAGCUGGGAAGACUGUGCAUGGCCGGCAUUUAGCACAGAAGUUAGGACUGUUCCAUAUAGCUUUCAAAGAACGUCUGCAGGAGCUUAUCAUCGCUAAAACAAAGAAAAAAAUUGGACCAGAGUUUGAAGAAGAUGAGGAGGAAGAGGAAGAAGAUAGCGAUACUGAGGAUGCUGAAGGUAAAGAAGAAGCAGGUGAGGGUGCGGAAGCCAAGGAAGGAGACACUCCUGAAGGAGAAGGAGGAGAUAAGGAGGAACCAGAAGUAGAACUAACUGAAGAUGAAGAAGCCAUCAAAUCAAAUUUGCUAGAUGAUGAGCCUCUACCCCCUGAAGUGUUGGAUACCAUCGUACCUGAGUGGUGGAACAAAGAACCGUUCAAAUCACAAGGCUUUGUACUGGAAGGUUUUCCACGUACAGCUGAUGAGGCACAGUACUUAGGACAAAUGGGUCUGUUUCCUGAUGCUGCCUUAAUGAUGAUAGUCGAGGACACAGACAUCUCAGAUAGACUGUUACCUCCCAAGCUGUCCAAGUGGAAAGCCAAGCGAGAUAAAAGGCUGGCUAAGAAAGAGAAGAAGAAGCAAAAGAAACAGAAGGAGCGAGAUGAGGCGAUGAAAAAGCGUAGAGAAGAAAUUUUAGCUGAGGUUGAACAACGUAAAGCAGAGAGACUGGCUCAAAAGGCAGCAGAUAAAGACAGUGAUGAAUCAGAUGCUUCAGAUAAUGAAGAUGACGAUGAUGAGGAGGAAGAAGAUGUGGAUGCUCUCUUAGCAGAAGAGUUUGAAGAGGAGGAAGAAGAAGAGAGGAGGAUGAGGAGUUGGAGGAGGAUGCGAUAGAUCGGUUAAAGAAUGAAAUUGGAGAAAUGUAUGAUAAUGAUACGAAUAAUCUUGGAGCUGUACAGGAAGUACUUGAAGAAUUGAUGAUCCCACGUAUAGAAGUGAAUGGUGGACGCAAACCACAUAUCGUACGCUUCUCUAUCAACCAGAGUGUCCGUCCAAUUGUAGACUGUAGGCAGAGUUUACUGGAAAAAGUCUACCCUAUCAGUGAUAGAUUGGCCAAGAAAAUGUUGCAAGUGGGUUAUAAACAUCCAAGUCGAUUCGGCAAGUGGUGUCCCGUGCAGCUACUUAAUGGUGAAUGUAUCCAGCCGAUGCAAGGGCCUGGAUUUUCCACGUACCCAGUGAUUUACAGGCAGUAUAUCUAUUUCCUUUCAUCGAUACAAGCAAGGGAUAAAUUCAUUCAAGAUCCCCUGUUUUACUUAAAACAGCCUUCACCCAAACCAGUAGUGCCUAUACGAAUGGCUAUAUUAGGGCCACCUAAGUCGGGCAAAACAACAUUGGCAAACCGAUUUGUGCAUGAGUUUGGUAUGGUGCGCCUAUCAGUAGGAGAACCAAGCAAAGGUCAUGUAACUAUUGUCAUGUACAUUUUAGGUAAUGCGGCAUCUAUCUCUGAUAUGUGUGUCACGCCAGAAGAGUUCCAAAUUCGACUUGGUGACUUUGGCCAGUAUUGUCCCGUCAGUCUGGCUAAGCGAAAUGAGCUUGUUGAGUGCAGCGUGCAUCCAACUUUGGAGUAUGCCGCAGAGUUCAGAGGGCGUUACUAUAAAAUGGGAAGUAAAGAAGACCUGGAUGACUUUUUGGCAAGUCCGGAACAAUUCGUACCACCUCUUGCCCCACGUACACUUCCACCUGCAGAGCUACUUCCAAAGAGGAGAACUCAAGCUGAAGCAAAAGCGAUGUUCCCAAUGCAAAUGGAAUUACAGGGAUAUUGUGCUGUUACGUAUUUGGAUGGCAAAUGCAGGUAUGAGGCUAUUGUACCUGGGGAUCCUGAACUGAUAGUAGAAUACCGUGGUAACCUUUACUGCUUUGAAUCAGAAGAAAAAUUACAAAAGUUUUUAAGGUUGCCAGAAAAGUACUAUGGGCUGAAGCUGCCACACAAGUUGCCCCCAAAGAAGGAGAUCCUGCCUAUUACAUCUUUACCUAUGCUUGGUUACAUGGAACAAGCAGUGUCCUCUGCUAUAACAAAGUCACUUACAGCAGUGGGUUGCUUUAAACCCAAAUAUCCAUUCCUAUCACCAGCCAGAUCAAGUCUACUUUAUGUUGCUUUACAUUUAAAAGCACAUAACCCUAAGAGUUCUGAUUAUGUUCGUAAGAAGUACAAACAAAAGUUAAUGCGAUACGAAGAACAGUGCGAACUUAUUAAAUAUCUUGGAGAAAACAUGACAACACGUUACAGAGAACCACAGGAAAGACCGAUUGAUUUUGAUCAUAAAAUGGACUCUUUCCUGAACUUACAAGAUAUGCAGCCAACAUCGACAUGGAUUGCAUAGACAUUUGUUUUAUUCUAUCAAAAUGCCAUCAAUGAAGUUGUUACUUCCGAAGAGCACCCUCAGUUGAGAAUAUGUGUACAUUAUUUCGUUUUUAUGUAAAUCCUGUUAUGAGUAAUAAUAAUAUUGGAAUGGAGAU